UACGGAGGGUGCAAGCGUUAUCCGGAUUCACUGGGUUUAAAGGGUGCGUAGGUGGGCAGGUAAGUCAGUGGUGAAAUCUUUGGGCUUAACCCGAAAACUGCCAUUGAUACUAUCUGUCUUGAAUGUUGUGGAGGUGAGCGGAAUAUGUCAUGUAGCGGUGAAAUGCUUAGAUAUGACAUAGAACACCUAUUGCGAAGGCAGCUUACUACGCAGAGAUUGACGCUCAUGCACGAAAGCGUGGGGAUCAAACAGG
rnacentral:rRNA from 1 species